GGGCAUCAGGAAGAAAGCUUGCUUUCUUUGCUGGCGACCGGCGCACGGGUGAGUAACACGUAUCCAACCUGCCCUUUACUCGGGGAUAGCCUUUCGAAAGAAAGAUUAAUACCCGAUAGUAUAAUGAUUCCGCAUGGUUUCCUUAUUAAAGGAUUCCGGUAAAGGAUGGGGAUGCGUUCCAUUAGGUUGUUGGUGAGGUAACGGCCCACCAAGCCUUCGAUGGAUAGGGGUUCUGAGAGGAAGGUCCCCCACAUUGGAACUGAGACACGGUCCAAACUCCUACGGGAGGCAGCAGUGAGGAAUAUUGGUCAAUGGGCGCUAGCCUGAACCAGCCAAGUAGCGUGAAGGAUGAAGGCUCUAUGGGUCGUAAACUUCUUUUAUAUAAGAAUAAAGUGCAGUAUGUAUACUGUUUUGUAUGUAUUAUAUGAAUAAGGAUCGGCUAACUCCGUGCCAGCAGCCGCGGUAAUACGGAGGAUCCGAGCGUUAUCCGGAUUUAUUGGGUUUAAAGGGAGCGUAGGUGGACUGGUAAGUCAGUUGUGAAAGUUUGCGGCUCAACCGUAAAAUUGCAGUUGAUACUGUCAGUCUUGAGUGCAGUAGAGGUGGGCGGAAUUCGUGGUGUAGCGG
rnacentral:rRNA from 1 species